rnacentral:sRNA from 12 species
GACCCAGCUGCUGAACUGUCACCGUUAUGGUGCGCGUGCCCAAGGAUCCUCGGGAUAGGAGCUGGGUCGAAC